UACGAAGGGUGCAAGCGUUACUCGGAAUUACUGGGCGUAAAGCGUGCGUAGGUGGUGAGUUAAGUCUGAGGUGAAAUCCCCGGGCUUAACCUGGGAAUGGCAUUUGGGACUGCAAGGCUUGAGUGCGGCAGAGGAGACUGGAAUUCCUGGUGUAGCAGUGAAAUGCGUAGAUAUCAGGAGGAACACCGAUGGCGAAGGCAGGUCUCUGGGCUGACACUGACGCUCAUGCACGAAAGCGUGGGGAGCAAACAGG
rnacentral:rRNA from 1 species